GUGGAUGUAGCUCAGUGGUAGAGCGUCCUCUUCACAUGCGGAAGGCCCGGGGUUCGAUCCCCCGCAUCUCCA
rnacentral:tRNA from 1 species